ACUCUCUGGCUUCUCUUGAGUUGUCGAAUAAAUUUUUCGCCGUUUACUAAAGAUUUCCGGGAAGGGGAGCACUCUAAUAAGUAUAAAAUGCAUUUUUGCAGAGAUUGGGACUGUUUGGUU